GCCUGACCGUGUCCUCAAGCCCUGGUGGAGUUCAGUGUGUCCUCCUGCAGUACCUGUUCGACAAGAACAGCUGAGAAGGAAAACCGCUUAGAGACAGCCAAGGAGGACCCAACUCGACCUCCCGUGUGGAAAGCUACCUCGGGAUCACCCACAGAGAUUCCAGAAGCCUCAUGUGAGCAUGAGUACCCGUUCUCCCGGGGCUGCCGGCCAAGAAGCUGGCCUCUCCGACAGCUGCCACUACUGCCUGCCACCACCACCUGCUGACUUGGAGCUCGCUGGCUACCUGGGGUCUACACAGCAUCCCAGACAUGUGAAA